rnacentral:rRNA from 1 species
AUUGAACGCUGGCGGAAUGCUUUACACAUGCAAGUCGAACGGCAGCACGGGGGCAGCCCUGGUGGCGAGUGGCGAACGGGUGAGUAAAACAUCGGAACGUGCCCGGUCGUGGGGGAUAACGUAGCGAAAGUUACGCUAAUACCGCAUACGAUCUGAGGAUGAAAGCGGGGGACCUUCGGGCCUCGCGCGAUCGGAGCGGCCGAUGUCAGAUUAGGUAGUUGGUGGGGUAAAGGCCUACCAAGCCGACGAUCUGUAGCUGGUCUGAGAGGACGACCAGCCACACUGAGACUGAGACACGGCCCAGACUCCUACGGGAGGCAGCAGUGGGGAAUUUUGGACAAUGGGCGCAAGCCUGAUCCAGCCAUUCCGCGUGCAGGACGAAGGCCUUCGGGUUGUAAACUGCUUUUGUACGGAACGAAAAGGCUCUGGUUAAUACCUGGGGCUCAUGACGGUACCGUAAGAAUAAGCACCGGCUAACUACGUG